rnacentral:lncRNA from 10 species
UGUCGACUCACUGCAGCCUCAAGCUCCCAGGCUGAAGCAAUCCUCCCGCCUCAGCCUCCCCAGUAGCUGGGAGGUGCGAGUCACUAUGCCCAGCUAAUUUUUGUAUUUUUUUGGUAGAGUUGGUGUUCUGCCAUGUUGCGCAGCCUAGUCUCGAACUUCUGGGCUCAAGCAGUCCUCCCUCCUGGGCCUCCUACGGUGUUAGGAUCACAGGGGUGAGCCACUGCGUACAGCCAUGUUUUCAGUAACCUUUUAACUGAAAUUUAGCAUUUCCUUUCACUGUGAAUUUAGGUAACAAACCACAGUAGUAUUAGCAGUAUCUGUGGUUUCAUCUCAAUAGCAGUUACAGAUAUGCUUACUUUAGAAUGGCUGUGGAUAUCUUGAACCAUAAUUUGUAUGCAUUGCUAGUUUUUUAUUACAUUUAUUAGAGACUGCUGCUAGAUCUAGUUAAUAUGAUAACAAAGAAGUAGACUUGUACUCUAUCAAAUAUCUGGGUUUAAUUUUCUUUUUUAUUUUUUGAGAAACAGUCUGGCUCUGUUGACCAGGCUGGAGUGCAAGAAUAAGACCCUGUCUCAAAAACACAGAAAAAAUAAAAAUAAUAACAUUACACCGAAUAGGGGAUCAUGGGCUUCACAAAACUGCCAAAGCAGUCCACAGUAGAAAAAAGGACGAAAACCCCUGCUUAAUAGAAAUAUUCAUUGUCCUAACUCAAAGGAAUGCUUGACUUUGGGUGUGGUGUUGUCUCUCUGAUCUGAGUCCAUCUCUUGGUGCCCUAAAGGGGAGAGUCUCUGGGACUCUUGUCCCCAUAGCAAACAACUGCAUCAACUGCAUGCAGGGCAUUGGAUAAGGGAAUGUCCCAGGUGUAGAGAAUCAAUCAGUUGCAGGCCUACUUGCAACCAGUGGGCUGACAGCGAGCCAUACCCUCACAUUCGCCUGAGAAAAGUGGCUGCUGGCCUUCUCUCUACUGAGAUUUGUCCCCUGAUACUUAUCAUCCUAGCCACAGCCAGCUGGACCAGAGAUCUCCCUUGUGUUUGGGUGGUGGCCUGAGGAGUGGCCAGGCAGGAGAGCCGGCCAAAUAGGUACUUUCAGAUUGAAUAACAACUAAUCGACCCAGUUGGAUCCUGUCCCUUGGGAAGUUGGAAUUUGAACACUUGAGGGAGUCGACAGGUGGCAGGGCCAGCAGAAUUGACAGGCACACAAAAAAAAAGGUGAAGGGAGAAGGGGAAGUGGAGCCAAGCGUGGGGAUUUGCCAAGUGAGGGUGGCCUUCCACCCCAUUCAUUCAGAGGAGGUCUGGCUGAGCAGCCCCCAAGAGCCCACAGAAUUGUGGAGGGCCAGGGGUCCCCAGCUGCGUAGGGCUCAUGGGAGAACAUGAGACAGGCCAGACACCCAAAAUGAGGAAGUUGGGGGGGCUUUUUUCUCAGCCUUCCUGACCUGGCGUGACCUCCUCUGGGCCCAUGUAACAGGCCUCCACACCCCCUUAUGCCUGGUGCAGGCACCCUGUUAACUUCUAUGUCCCUGUAGGUCCCUUUCCAAGGACUCUACCUGCUUGACUGCUCCCAAAGCAGCCAGAGCCAGUAUUGCCCCUGGUGGGGAAUGGAGCUGGAGAGCAGGCUGGCAGCAAGGAGGAGAGAGGGACAGAGAGGUCUGUCACUCAUUAUCCCAGAGAAGCAUCAUGGGGUGGACUCCUCUGACCUGGCUCCUUUUGUUUCCCAUGGCUGGGGUCCUUCUUUCCCUCUAGAGCCUGUAACGCCCCCGCUCUGUCAAAUUCCUCAUACAGCAAACUUAUUCUACUCUCUUUACCCAG